rnacentral:rRNA from 1 species
GACAGAGGAUGCAAGCGUUAUCCGGAAUGAUUGGGCGUAAAGCGUCUGUAGGUGGCUUUUUAAGUCUGCCGUCAAAUCCCAGGGCUUAACCCUGGACAGGCGGUGGAAACUAGCAAGCUGGAGUACGGUAGGGGCAGAGGGAAUUUCCGGUGGAGCGGUGAAAUGCGUAGAGAUCAGGAAGAACAUCGGUGGCGAAGGCGCUUUGCUGGACCAUAACUGACACUCAGGGACGAAAGCUAGGGGAGCGAAUGGG